CCAAACCAUGAAACAAAUACUACAAGCUAAAAUGUUUGUAGUAUGUAUUCCCUCUCAUCCUUUAUGUACAGCACCAUAGCCUAAUGGCAUGUAUGCCGUUUAAGGUUCCCAUUAGCUUUGUGAAUAGCACAAAACAAAUAUUACCUUAUGCUCCAGACAGGAUAACAUCUAAAGGCAUUAACUCUACAAGAACUUGGCCAGAUUUUCAAGUAUGGGUAAUGAAUGACCUACAAACCCUUACAACAGCAGCUUUCUCCUGCUGGCCUACUAUUGCUGUCCCCUGGAGAUGAGGCUUUGGAGAAAUAAUCAUCAGCCAGUUCCAUUCAGGCAUUCACCCCUCUCCUGAGAUUCACAAAAGGGUGAUGAAGUACAUGUUUGUGUGCUUUUUAAUGCGAUCAGCAGAUGCUCCGUGGUGACCACAAAGAGUAUCUGAAAGACAGAAAAAAACAACCUAGGUGGUUUUUGAAACAGCAGUGACCUGAAGUGGAUGUUUUCAAACCGUGAAUCUCCUUUAGAGCUGUUGUGUGUCGGGUAUGUUGCACUUUAAUCAGGAUUUCAAAAGAGUACAAACAAAAACAUGGGUAGGAAAAGGAAGAGUGGGUUACUGGCCUUGCCUAAAAUUCAGAGGUAGCAGAGAGCUCACCAGAGAAAUGCACACCCUUGCACACGUGCUAUAGCACACAAAUUCCAUUUAUAAAUAUUGCAGCAGAGGAAGGUACAAAUGUAGUCAUUUGUGAUUUCAAUAAUUUAUAUCAAUACACGAUUCAUGAAUUCAGUAUUUGCACAUUUGGAGAAUGCUACGGCUGAAGAGGAUCUACUGGGAAUGCAAGAGAUGGGUAAAUAAUGGCUUCCAUGUCUUUUCAGCACCUUGGAAGAGUAAGCUACAAAAUUCAAAGAUCCAGGGAUGUUGGGGUGUGUUUUGAUGGGAAGCAGGGCAGAGUCUCUUCUGCUGUGAGACCAGUGUGUCAUCUGUCACGCUUGGUGGCAAGAGAGCUUUCUUUUCUCAACAUGAAACACAAUUGUUGCCAGAGGUAGAAAGACCCAUGGGAAGACAAGGUCAGAACUCAACAGAAGGGAAUAAAAACUUAGGGGAGCAACAAGGAGGAAAAGAAAGGAAUGAGGAAACAAAUAUUAAAACAAGAGAAAAAAUAAAGGAAACACACAAAGUAUAGAGAUCCUGAUCAGUAGUGAUGUUCAGAGGGCUCAUCAGGCAGUGCUGCUGCCACUUCAACAGAACCUAACAAAGACACUGAAGCAGGCCCUCCAUGCCUCCAUCGUUUCCAUCCCAGAGAUUCCUCAAAGUGGCUCCCAUCACAGUGAUACUACCCCUGACUGAUUUAGGUCCUUGCAGGCCUCAACAUUUCUAUCUUUACUUUGAUGAGUUAGAGCAGUGGCUUGCAGAGGUCAUUACAGCUGUAACUGUCAGCUGUCAAUAGCCCCACUUUCCAUCACCCUUGGGGUCAUCACCACAGCGAAUGUUAUAUGGGCCUUGGCCAAACUUAGCUCAGUCAAGACACCAGUGAUUUGUGAGCAGGACCUAGACCUGUUCUUACCCUGAGACACUAUUCACCUUCUGAUCUCCACUACCUUAGGUUCAUGUUGACUGCCCUGCUUGCUCAAAUGACUGCAGGUAAAGGCUGCCCUCUGCAGUUGUACAAGACCACUUCAUUCCCCUGGGACAGGGGUGAGAACCUGAUAGACCACCA